CCUACGGGUGGCAGCAGUGGGGAAUAUUGGACAAUGGGGGGAACCCUGAUCCAGCGACGCCGCGUGAGUGAAGAAGUAUUUCGGUACGUAAAGCUCUAUCAGCAGGGAAGAAAGAAAUGACGGUACCUGACUAAGAAGCCCCGGCUAACUACGUGCCAGCAGCCGCGGUAAUACGUAGGGGGCAAGCGUUAUCCGGAUUUACUGGGUGUAAAGGGAGCGUAGACGGCGAUGCAAGUCUGAAGUGAAAGGCGGGGGCCCAACCCCCGGACUGCUUUGGAAACUGUAUGGCUGGAGUGCAGGAGAGGUAAGUGGAAUUCCUAGUGUAGCGGUGAAAUGCGUAGAUAUUAGGAGGAACACCAGUGGCGAAGGCGGCUUACUGGACUGUAACUGACGUUGAGGCUCGAAAGCGUGGGGAGCAAACAGGAUUAGAUACCCCUGUAGUC
rnacentral:rRNA from 1 species